rnacentral:rRNA from 1 species
GACGAACGCUGGCGGCGUGCUUAACACAUGCAAGUCGAACGGAAAGGCCCUGCUUUUGUGGGGUGCUCAAGUGGCGAACGGGUGAGUAACACGUGAGUAACCUGCCCUUGACUUUGGGAUAACUUCAGGAAACUGGGGCUAAUACCGGAUAGGAGCUCCUGCUGCAUGGUGGGGGUUGGAAAGUUUCGGCGGUUGGGGAUGGACUCGCGGCUUAUCAGCUUGUUGGUGGGGUAGUGGCUUACCAAGGCCUUGACGGGUAGCCGGCCUGAGAGGGUGACCGGCCACAUUGGGACUGAGAUACGGCCCAGACUCCUACGGGAGGCAGCAGUGGGGAAUAUUGCACAAUGGGCGGAAGCCUGAUGCAGCAACGCCGCGUGCGGGAUGACGGCCUUCGGGUUGUAAACCGCUUUCGCCUGUGACGAAGCGUGAGUGACGGUAAUGGGUAAAGAAGCACCGGCUAACUACGU